rnacentral:sRNA from 1 species
AGUGGGUCUCUGUGACCUGGAUUCAUGCUCUUGCAUCAUAUUUCCUGAGGCCUCUGCUUUCCCUGUACCUCAUAUGAGGAUUCUCCAAUCUCCAGUAAUGCCACACAGAAUGAGACUGCGAUGCAGAUCUUUGGAGGAAGUCCACAGAGACAAAGCUCUUUCACGUCAUGCCAUAUCUAGAAUAUCACUGGCUGAUGUCACUCCAGGCUGAAGAAGUAUAUGUCAGGAGUACCACCGAUCAACGUGUGAUGGAGUGAUGUAAUAAAGAAUACAGCAUGGCUCCAAAUGGUUUUAAAAGCCCUAAGCAUCUCUCAGUGCCUUAUGUUAAUCAGCAUAGAGUUAGUGCCAUUGGUUUGCCCAACUCUUUGCUAAGUGUUAAUGUCCAGUUAUACUCUGAGGGGCUCUUAACUAGCUAGAAGAAAAAGGUAAUGCCC